CGCGUAGGCGGCUUUGUAAGUCGGAUGUGAAAGCCCCGGGCUUAACCUGGGAAUUGCAUUCGAUACUGCAGGGCUAGAGUAUGGGAGAGGGAAGUGGAAUUUCCGGUGUAGCGGUGAAAUGCGUAGAUAUCGGAAGGAACACCAGUGGCGAAGGCGACUUCCUGGCCCAAUACUGACGCUGAGGUGCGAAAGCGUGGGGAGCAAACA
rnacentral:rRNA from 1 species